rnacentral:tRNA from 1 species
GGGUAGGUGGCCGAGUGGUUAAAGGCAACAGACUGUAAAUCUGUCCAGCAACGCUGUACGCAGGUUCGAAUCCUGCCCUGCCCA